UACGUAGGUGGCAAGCGUUACUCGGAAUCACUAGGCGUAAAGCGCAGGUAGGCGGUUCGGUAAGUCUUUUGUGAAAGCUCCUGGCUCAACUGGGAGAGGUCAAAGGAAACUACCGGGCUAGAGUGUGGUAGGGGAUACUGGAAUUCCUGGUGUAGCGGUGAAAUGCGUAGAUAUCAGGAGGAAUACCUAUGGCGAAAGCAGGUAUCUGGGCCAUCACUGACGCUGAGCUGCGAAAGCUAGGGGAGCAAACAGG
rnacentral:rRNA from 1 species